CGCGGAGCUCGGCGAAGUUCCUCCAACUCGGCCGGUGGCGGGCCGGUCGCCCAGCAGGGGGACCCCGGGGAGGACCGGCCGCGGAUUGGAGCGAAGUUGGAAGCCCUCUCCGCCUCCCGGCAGUGGGGUGAUGGUGGGAGGGAAUGGUAUGCGAGAAGCUCCACGCCCUUAAAAAGCUCCGCGGAUUCCCAGCCCAUCUCCUGUCACCUGGCCGCCGGGCGUGAGGGCUUCCCAGCACCGAGAUUUUACAGGGAACACCAACGUAGAGGCCGAGGCUAAAUGAAGGCCAAGUGUACUAAGAGGAACUAACCUUUGAGAAGUUAAUCUGGAUGUCAACUGUACUGAUGUUCCAGACAGAUGUGGCCCCCUUAAAUUCACAUGCUGAAGCCUAACGCCCAAUGAGACUGUAUUUGGAGACACAGUCUAUCAGGAGCCUCUUCAUUACUGGUGCCAUGGAGGAAGUGAUGUUAUCCAAUUGCCUGUCAACUUAGUAUCCCUGGCCCCAACAAUAAAACAGAC
ensembl:lncRNA